rnacentral:lncRNA from 1 species
CCUCGCCCAAGCCUGCUUCCCGCGCCGUCUUAUCUGCGUUUGGACUGGGAGCUGCUUCUUGCCUUUCCUGCUUCCUGGACCUCUCUGGAGCGUUGGCUGGGGAGCCGCAGCCACAGCCUUGACCCAGGGCCUCCGAAGCCGCGGCUUAAACGGAGGUUGCACCAUCACCGGCUGCGGGGCCGGGCGUGCUGGGCCUCACCGUUCCCGGUGCGGGUCUGAAGCUCCUUCUUCCUCCAUGAACACAGUGAGCCCGUGGCCUGCCCGUCAGAGCCGCCCUCUCUAGGGGUCCCCACGCCAGAGCUGCUGUCGCUCCUCCUUUCCAGGUGGCAUGUCCUCGCUCGACGAGGCCCACGUGUGGGUGCCCUUGGUGGUCCUAGCCCGGGAUGGCUCCGUGAAGGGGGCCAGAUCCCACCCUCCAUACUCCACAUCCACGGGAGACCUGUGUCCUGCUUCCAGGUGCGCAUUGGAGCCCCCAGACCCACGGGAAAAUCACUGCAGACAGUUGCUCAUGGCAGAUUCCAUGUGAUGAGCAAGGGAUCUCUGGGCUGAGCCUGUCAGAAAGGAACUAGGGGAGGAAGACGUUGUUUAAAGAAAUAAGAGGUGACAAGUUCAGUGGAGAGAAGGCCCUGUUGCCAGGACAGCCACUCCACAGAGGUACACUUCUGAGGAUGACUCGGUGGCCUCUGUGGAUUCCGGGGGCAGGACUGUGGGGCAUGCUCAAUAUCUGGAAGGAUUCUGGCCGUGGAAAGUCCCUCUCCCCUCCACAAUGUUUAGAUUGAAUGGAAACAAAGCGGCUCCACUGAACACCCACGAAAUCUUAAGACGUUGCCUGCUUCAUGGAUUUCUCUUGGUCAUGAAUGAAAAGCAGGUUGGUGAGUGAACACCUUCCCUGAGGCCCUUCAGUCCUCUACCCCUGCCCAGGGGAUGGAUGAGCAGACACGAACAAAGGUGGGAUCUUCAGGAACGAGGAGAGGGUAUAGGAAGAGAGAGGGGACUUUAGCGAGG